AGUGGCGAACGGGUGAGUAACACGUGACCAACCUGCCUCUUACAUUGGGACAACCAAAAGAAAUUCUGGCUAAUACCAAAUACUCCGCACAUAUCACAUGAUGUAUGCGGGAAAGCUUUUGCGGUAAGAGAUGGGGUCGCGGCCCAUUAGGUAGACGGCGGGGUAGAAGCCCACCGUGCCGAUGAUGGGUAGCCGGGUUGAGAGACCGACCGGCCACAUUGGGACUGAGAUACGGCCCAGACUCCUACGGGAGGCAGCAGGA
rnacentral:rRNA from 1 species